CUUUCGCCAUUACUCUCACAAAAGCAAUGUGCUUUAGAAACCUCAGAGAUAUUACACUACGAGGUCUUAAAUACAAACUCUUAUGUUCAUUGACUACGCACUAGAUUAAAAGGUUGUAGUAUUCAGUACAUGAGAGACAUAUACUUCCCUUUAACUCCAAAUUUAUAAACCACUCAAAUAUUAACUUGUAUAGACACUAACCAAAUCGAGAGCCUUUUUAGCGUGGUAGAGUAGAGCUUCAAAACUCACAAGCCCUUUCCUAGCCCCUUUAAUUUGCUUGUGAACCAGAACUACGUCACACAUAUUCAUGCAAAUCACUUGGAUUAUUUUCAAAACGCGAUAAGAAAAACAGCGCACAAGCUCGAGUCGCAUGCACGCCACACGUAGCUGCUCCACCCUAUUUCUAUCUAGCAUGUCUGUACAUGAUCUGAGGAUUGAAACGCCACUCCUCCACCAAGCACUCGCAUUCUCACGUCUUUAGAAAAAUAUCAUAUGAUUGUGGAGAACAGCUGGGACUUUUGACUGUCAACCGAUACACACGGAGUUACUCGAGAAUUUCACCUUGAAAUCUGGCCUCCAACCUGCACACAUGGAGGCAAACGUUAGCAUGCUGUCAGCACUGCAGUCUAUAUGAGGUGCCUUCGACCCAGAAGCUCAGAUCACUUUGCUUCCAUCUGGUAAUACAAAUGUUUAUUGUAAAGUCCUUCUAAUAACUAAAGCCAGGAGAAAGAGAGCAUGUUCAUUUUCAGUGCUUGUGGUAUGCUAAGCAUUAAAAGCUGAAGAAGAGCUCCAUUUUUAGAUGUCAUGUGUUGUCCCUGGACAAAAGACAGCCAAGGAUGCAUGGCGGCUUGCUGCGAUGACUUCUCAACACAGAGAAACGCGAGACCAUCCAUGCACAGCGCUCAUAACACGAGCUCAAGCGUCAGAAAAUAAACUGCCACCUAAAACUGCACAUUUCACCAAGAACACCAGGCUCUGUCACCAACAGUCAGCGUCCUCUCUCCCCAGAGUCCUAAUCAGCACCACCUGUCUCCAGUCACCACACUCAUCGGGACUCCAUAUAAGCACACACCUCACACACACUCUUUGUCUGGCCUCGACAAGGAGUAGACCUCUUCUCUCUGAGUACCUGUGUUCAUUUGAAGCUCCUCUACAUCUCCCUACGUUUUCUCCAGCGUUUCUCUUCCAAGACACGUGAGGUGUGUGCUCUUUUCCCUCAGUCAUUUACCUAGUGUCUCUAUCUGUGUUACCCACCAGCCUGCAGUUAUCUUUGUGUUUACCCUGUCUUUGCAUAUCCAUUGUUUGUCAAAUCCUUUAAUAAAUUUGUGUUGGGUUCUCACCUUUGUCUCCGAGUCUGGUAUAUCCUGACAUUUUAUUUGACAUCAAUAUUUUCCAUCAAUGUUUUCAUAUACACACACACACACACUAUUCAAUAUUAAAUUAAAUAACGGUAUUUAAGUUAUUAUAGAUUUCUUAUCAGCUCAAACCAUUCUGGUCAUUCACCUCUGAUAUCUCUCAUCAACGAGGUGUUUCAGCCUGUAGAUCCUCCACUCACAGGAUGUUUUUUGUUUUUCAUACAGUUCUGUGUAAACUCUAGGGACUGUUGUGUGUGAAAUUCCCAGGAGAUCAGCAGUUUCUGAAAUAGUCAAACCAGCCCAUCUGGUACCAACAUCUACUGCCAUGGUUAAAAUCACUGAGAUCACACUUUUUCUUCAUUCUGAUGUUUGAUGUCAACAUUAACUGAAGCUCUUGCCCUCUAUCUGCAUGAUUUUUUAGCAUUUCGCUGCUGCCACAUGAUUGGCUGAUCAGAUAACUGCAUGAAUGUGCAGGUGUUCCUAAUAAAGUGGACAGUGAGUGUAUAUCAUGAUCUUUACAACACCUCAGAAACAUGUACUGUGACAUUUUUUUUUUUUACGAUAAAAAUAUCAUCUAGUCAUAUCACCCAGCCCUAAUCAGGAGACAAAAAGAAAAAUCUCAAACUGAAAUUAAAUCAUCAGUGGCUUUGCUGAAACUUAUUAUUGCUCACAACUUCUUUUCUAUCUACUCAAUUCUGUUUCUCCAUUUCAGGCAAAACACAGCAGAUGCAAAACACCAGUUUCUGUUUUGCAAUGUCUCUAGAUCAAAAACGCCAGCGUGGGCCCUAGGAUCAGCCCAAUAACCGCAGGUCUGUAUGUGCGCCAGUGGAAUACGAUUAGAGAGAUCUCCAACACGAGCAACUGAAAAAGUAAAGAUAAAGGGGGAAAAACAGAAGUAGAGACAGGGCUAUGCCCAGUGGCUGUAAAAACUCAUUUACUGCUGUUAUUCAUUUGAUGUCCUGCGCAUGCACACAAACGUAUUCACGAGCCUGAAGAGAAACUGGACAGAUCAUGCGGAGAAACUGAAGCAUGUGAGAGAACUUCACUUGUGCGAGCACUGAGCACUGAGAUGUGAGCGCUAUAAAACAUAACGAGUCAAAAAUAUUGUUUAUAAAGACGCUAACCUUUCACGUGCAAAUAAAGCAGGCACAUCAUUAAGCAAACAACUAAGUAAGAAGACACUAGAGGCCAUAGUGAGCGCGUGCUUCUGAGUGAAGAGGAAAAAGCAAAGUCCAUGUUUGAAUCCACACACACUGACCUUACACACCACUCAACCCCUGUUUCAUACGCUGCUAAACAUGACUCUACAGUCUCCAUGUCAUCACUCUACACUCAGGGUUGGGUCGACUACUUCAAUAAAGUAUCCAUGGCUGAAUACUCAGUACUCUCUCUUUACUCUCACAUAAUCGGUAACGUGUUCAGCUACACUACUCAAAAAGGGUAAUUUAUUCAGAUUACAUUAAGCGUGUGUAGUUUAAAGGCAUAGUUAGAAGAAUGAUGAUGUGUGUUAGACACUCUUUGCCUUACUGCAUGUCCAUUUUAAAAACUGCGUCUAACCUGUUAACCACAUCACUCCGUGUCAAGUUCAGCUGGCACUGACGUUUCAGAGUAAACAACUGACAGAUCACUCUGUUAGUGAAUGGCUCAAAGCAAAGCAGUGUGCACAAGUUAACCACUUCUGCACUACGUUUUAAUUGAUUUCGUUCUGUUGUAGGCUAACGGUAAUUGCACACGCCUACUCACAUGCACAACCACACACACACACCACCAUAUAAAAGGACUAGCCCACUACGAGAUGUGCUGUUAUAGAAAAACAAUCGCUCUGCGCUGGCUUGCAUCACACCUCGCCAUUGAUUAUUUUCUUAUAACAGAACACACUUAGGCAGGUGUUAUAGUGCUACCAAAUAAAAAGUUUUUAAGUAGUUUUGUUUUGUUUAAUCAACUGCUGAAUGCAUGGUCUUGCUGCAAUUUCAGUCAACAAAACAGAAAUAAGUUAAACGAGAUAUGAUCAGUAAGCUAAAGCUGGCCACCUUAUUAUCACCAAGACGAAAGUUUUGUUCACCAAGUACUCAUUUUGUUUUCAAAGUAGCUAAAAUGUACGAGGCCCACACGCUCAGAGAUGCAUCAGGCACACUGCUAUAACACGCCCAAACAGCACACACCGCAGGUGGAAUGUAAUUGUAAAGAAUUUUAUGCUCUAUGCAAACUUUGAAAGAGCAAAUAAAAACAAACCACAAAAUGCUGAUAAACAUGUGAGCCAAAAAACAGUGAUGAAAACUUUUAAGUAAAUAAAUGAUGACUUAGCGAAGUCAGGUCUUUUCUAAACAUUAACGAGCAUCAUGCGCUGUUUAAGAGACAAAGAAACUACAACAUCAAAAAUCGCUGUGACCAAGAAAAGUAACAAAGGAGUUACAUUAGAUCAGUUACUUUACAUCAAAUAUUAAAAUCUAUCCAAUUUGCUACUGUCUUGAUGCUAUUUUCUUUCCGUACACAGGUUUUAAAAAAACAGCCGUGUGCUUUGAGUCUUUUGAUCCUGAUCACUUUUUUGUCAUCUUGAUGACAGGCUUAGAGAUGAAGUCAAAAAUAUCAGGCAAAUACGGGUAAAAACGCGAAUCCAAACUAAUGCUGCACUCGACAAAAACUUGUAACACAUAAUUUCGGACCAGGAAAAAAGAAAGAAAACGCCCUCUUUCAACUCGGAAACGAGAAACGGUCUCCUCAACCCUGAGCUCAUCAAGUGACAUCAAAUCAUCAUGGCUGCUCACAGCAUCAACAGUAAUCACAGUAGCUCUUCUUACCUUUAAAUAAGUUAUACUUUACAUCAAUACACAGAUAGCUGGCUAGCUUCUUGCUAAAAAGGACAAGGAGGAGGAUUAAUGUGGAGGCAUCCAUUGUUUUGUAGCUUGAAUGCAUGGAGGUCGAGAAUGACAUCAUUCCAAGCUCUGACUUCCCACUUCAAGGUAAGUCGAACGCAGCGUUAAACUCCAUUCGAGAUAUUUUUUCCCUGAGAAUUUGUACUUGCAGUAUUUGAUUUAACAAGGCCACCAUGGGGAAGAGAGAGAGAGAGAGAGA